ensembl:miRNA dre-mir-205 microRNA 205
CUGUGAAUUCUAUCCUUCAUUCCACCGGAGUCUGUGUAGCUGUCCAAUCAGAUUUCAGUGGUGUGAAGUGUAGGAGACAUGG